AUAACUAAAACUCAGGAGACUGGGGGGUAGAAGUCCAAUGUUGUUUAUUGCAAAGCAAUAGGUUACAAUGGGAUAGCUCCACAAAAGUUGCAACCCCGCCCAGUGGACCGGGCAGUGGUAUUUAUAAAGUUUCAAACAAAGCAUUUCAGUUUCCACCAAUCGUACAUCAUUACCUCAUUUAAGUUGAUAGACCAAUCAUAUGCACAAGCAUUGGCUGUUUCUGCUGAUUAAGCUCGGAUUCCCAUGUUCUGCGAUGACCUUCCAGGAAUACAUUGUGUUGGUGUGCAUGUUGGGAACCUGUGUCACGUGCAGCCAUUUGCAUCACGGAGCAACUUAUGUUCUAGCUUUGUGCUGUGAAUCUUUGUGAUUUACAUAUUAGCUGUAUUUCUGGCCCCAACGAGGGCUGCACAUGUUGAAAAAUCAUCAGUUUCAUAAAGUAACAGGCUACCAUAAUUUCUCUAUUAGAAGCACACUCAAGGAUUGAUAGGGGUACACAUUACCACAUUUAUUGUGGCCCUUUGGGCCACUCCCACAAGAUCACCACACACUGGUUACACCCAGGGGACACAUUGGGGGGAAAUAAACAGGGUUUUUUUAAACUGAGGAAUGGAAUUCCAAUCAAUAGAUUUAUAGGGCAGGGCUAACAUCUAACGAAAGAAUGGCAACUUCAACAGAUGGAAUAUGCACAGUUUGCAGACCUAACAUAUAGAAUAAGAGAACAAGAAGAACAUAUGUUUAAAGAAGAUUGGACAAUGUUUAUUGAAUAUAUGGGGGGAAAUUGUGUAUACUUGAAAACUUUUGCAUGAUUAAGAUAAAUUCAACAAUGUAAAUAAGUCUUGAUGCAUGUGAUAAUUUAAUGAAAAUUGUGUGUGUGUGUGUGUGUGUGUGUGUUCAAUGAAGGAUUGGUGGUUUGUUGUUGUUGUUGUUUGUAGUACAAAUGUGCUUGUUGUGUUCACAGGGUAGAUAGAUGCCAGGAAUGAGGUGUGUACCUUCGACGAGGUACCACGUUAAAUAUAUGCUUUUGAAGGGUGAACGAACUAGGUCUCCAAGGACUGAAGCAGGCACAUAGGAAAGUGAUGCUGCAUAAAUCUAACAGGACCUAGUACAGAGUAGAAACUUAAAAUUACAGAAUCGUGGAGCUGGGGGCCACACCAAAGGUCAUCUAGCCCAACCCCCUGCAAUGCAGGAAUCACAGUGAAGAGUCCCUGACAGAUGCCCCCCCCCAACUUGCUCUGCUUCAGGACCCUUUGCCUAUUGCUUCAUUACAGAGGCCAGAAUCCACCCAUCCACCUCAGCAUCGUCUACACUGACCGGCAGCAUCUCUCCCGGGUUUCAGACAGGGAACAUUCUCUGCCCCACCUGGAGAGGUCAUCCAGGAUUAUCUGUGAGGAUGGGGAUAAUGCAGAUUGUCUAAUCCUGUGCUAUGGACACCCCUAGACUUGGGAGUCUUCUACUGCAUUUCAUGGGACUUUGGGAUUGUCUCCCUUUGGAAAUGGGGCUGAAUGAAGAAUGAUCUGAUAUAAAAACAUGAACUCCAAAAGAGAGGAUUCACCUGCAGACGGAACAGCAGGUGCUUCAAAGUUCUGAAGAAACAUCGGGGGGGGGGGGGGAGUUUGGCCCAGGUGGGUGGGUUGCCAUGGGAACAAUGACCUGCCCUCCUUUGUGACAUGUCUUGCUUCCCCUUUAAAAGCCACCAACUACAGGUGUCCAUUGUGGGAUAGUGAGGAGAGGUAGAGAGAGAGGUGGGAGUGCAGAAGGAGAUUUAGGAGAGGCUUUGGUUUAGGAGAGGCAGGGACUGUUUUAACAGGAGGCGGAGGCAGCAGCAACAAUGAGGUCAAUUCCAGAAAUCCAGCAGGAAGGCAGGAUCAGCGGACUUGUCCUUCGCGGGACAGACUGGCUCAGGCGAAUGAGAAGCUUCCUUCAGGUCAAAAGGAGCAAUAAAGUGGCCGCGCUGGACCACAAGGAGGAGUCUUCUGAGACUCCAGGUGAGGAAGUAAAAACCCCCGCACCAUUUUGGGAAGGUCAGGGCAGGAAUAGGCUAGGGGGGGGCAGCUCAGGGUAUAGGAUUUGUGGGGGAAGGAAGCUAGUAAGAAAAGAAGUCGAAAAAGCCAGACUGCUGGAUCUGGCAGGAGGCCGAGGCAGCUGAUAGGACAGGGCAGGGGGACAGUGGUCAGCAAGAGGGCCACAUUCUCUUGUGAGCCGCAUUUGGGGGGCUGCAUGCCAAGACUGGCCCCCAAGGCCUGGGGUUUGCCACCCCUGUAGGAGGAGUGUAGAAGCAGGGAAAUCAAGGAGAAGAUUAUUGCAACAAUCUUGGAAGCUGCAAAGGGACGAACUAACCUGUCCCCAUGUCCUUCUCUUGUUGCAGUUGUUACAAAGCUAUCCCAGAUCUUCCCAGACCUUGAGGUUAGUACUGGGGGAAACAAAAGAGGAGGGAGUGGAUCCCCCAGACCCUCUGCCCACUGACUGUGGUCUUUGCCCCCAAUUCUGCAGUGGCGUGUGUCCCUGGGGUGUCAGGAUGAUGCCAGAGGCAUGUCCUGCCCUCUUCCCUGGUGCUGCCCUUCCACCUCUGCCCAGGAGGCUGCAGGGCCCAUGGAGGUCCUCUGGGGCAAGGGAUUGGGCCCAAGCCUGAGGGAGGCCACUCUUUCCUGGCUUGGGCCUGCUUGUGGGCUCCCUUGCACCCGUCAAUGGUGGGUUUUGUAGUUUCACCAAAGGCGUCUCAUCCAGCUUUCUCUUUCCUCUGCAGAAGGCAAUGGCCCAACGACACCGGUCCCGUGUUCGGCCAGCACCUAAGGAAGGUAAAUGAAUCUCCACACCUUGGGGACUUUUCACUUAGUAGCCUUAUGGUUCAUUCCUGAGAAAGAUCGCCCAGGCCUUCUUGCUGUGCCUUGCAGGCCUUUUUCACUUCGCCUCAGUAGGCAGGGCCCUGACUGACUCCAGCUACAAAAGCUGAGGUGGUUGGACCCUUGGGUUUGGGUAUAGUUUGGCAGGCGUUGUUGAGAGAGGCUGUUAAUUCAGUCUCUCUUUUUCAUUCUCUUCCAGAGGACAUCAUUGUCGAAGAUCUUGAAUGAGCUUCCGGGAACUUCUGGCGGAGCCGCGGCCAUUGAAAGAAGCGCGAGAUAGCCCGCCAUGGAAUCUCAAGCAACGCGGGGGCUUUUUGGAGGUUCAGCGAAGGCUACGCGGACCUUGGAACCUCAAGAGGUUAUCUUGGGGGAUUUGGCACCCGGCGGUGCCUGGUCGUGCUCUCCAGCUCUUCGGGGUGCAGGAAGGGAGUCCGUCCCGGCAGCUGGGAGAAGAUGGCAUAUGGCGGAAGGUUGCAGGAGGAGCAAGGACUUACUUCGUGAGGAGGAAGACACCGGAAAGCCUGUUCCUUAUUGCUUUUGGAGUACGUGGCGUUUUCUUGAGGCUUCCAGUGGACUAAGCCAAUAAGUGGGCUUUGUUGGGGGAUUUAAGACAGUGUUGGAGAAGGAGAUUUUGGCGCUGGGACUUCUAAAAUUCACCCCCUUACCAGCAUUGUUUCGUGAGGAGGAAGACAUUGGAAACCCUGUUUGCUAUUGUUGCUGGAGUUUGUGGCGCUUUUCAGAGGUCACCAGUGGAUUAAGCCGACAAGCGGCGGAAAACGAAGAAUGCAAAUUGGAUUACAAAUACCUUCCUUUUAAUGUUUUUAUGUAUUUAUAUCUUGUUUUUUCAGUUGUAUUCAUUUAACUUGUUUUUAUUAUUGGCUGUUCGCCGCCCUGAGCCCGGCCUUGACUGGGGAGGGUGGGGUAUAAAUAAAAUUUAUUAUUAUUA